CUUAACACCUUGAGGCAGACGCUAACUGACUCUCAUCGGCCGUCCGGAAACCUGAGAGCGCAGAGCGACCACAGGUGUUCAAAAGCUGGAUGCCUGUCUGCUCUUGUUAUCCGAUCCUUGCGUGCCGAUUCUGUGUGCGUCUGUGUGUGCGCUAUAUUUGGCUGAGUCCGUCUGGCUGUAAAAUCUCACACUGUUAUCGCGCGUAAGCCUUAUCUGGCUGUGGGUCGGGAGGAGCGGUUUACGCUCGUCUCGCGACUCGAGUUGGGAAGAUGUGUUCCGCAAAAUGCUUGAGUGGAUUUUCAUCCGCCAUGGAUUGGCGUCCGAUUGAGUUCAUGGACCUCCCUUCCGUCCGAUCCUGUUCUUUAUGCAACGUGGUUCCCAAGGAGACAUUUCUUCUGGAAUGUUGUCAUGCACUCUGUGGCCAAUGUUAUCAGGUCGUCCUUCGUGGCAAUCAACGUUGCCCACUCGAUGGAGAAAGCACACAAGAAAGCGAAGCGCAAGUAUGCGUGUUCAAGCCGAAUCACCUCGAGAAAUGCAAAAUGCGCUGUUGCAACUCCAGCAACGGGUGCGACUUCGUUGGGAAUAUGGAGCAAGUGAAGAAUCACUUCCUAAGUGGCUGUGCCUUCCAUGUUGUGUCGUGUAACAGGUGCAAUGCCGCAGUGCUGCGCGGUGAUAUCGUCAGUCAUUACGGCGGACAACAAUGCAAGAGUUCGUCAUCCAGCGGACGUGAAGCAGGAGAUAACGAAGGAGUCGUGAACAUCGGCCGGAAAAUCGACGCCUCGCUGGACGCUAUCGCUGAGAGAAUUUGCGCGAUUGAAACUCAGCUCAACAAUCAUACCGCCGGCGUCGAAGGCGCGAAGCAGUGCACGUCUGCAAAUAAGCAGCUAUUGGAUCAACUUCUCGAGCGGCUGGAACGUACAGAUGGAGCGCUAAGAAAUGCAGCGACAAAUCUGUUGUCGAGAGAGGACCUCAAGGGAACACUCGAAGUCGGUUCGAAGACAAUCAAUGAGGGAACAGGGCAAGGGAGGGCAGGGAACGCCGCAAGCGGUGCGCAGGAUAACCGUGGAAUAACCAGCGUGGCUACCGAUGAAAUCAUUGAAAAACUGAACACUAUUGGACGGCAGCUGGACACAAUGGAGCAUAUUGUGAAAGCAGGAACGAAUCAGGCAGUGUGGCAUAUUCGGGGCAUUACUGAACUUGCGUCCAAGUCCAAGGAGCGAGGGGGCCUAAAGCAUUACUCGGAUGUAUUCGUCCUUUGUGGUUAUUCUGUGCGAAUGCAACUAAUGUUCGUCGGCAGUGAGGAUGAGACCGUCCACUUCUCCCUCCAGAUCUGCCAGAGCGCAUACGAUUCUUUCCUAAAGUGGCCAUUUUGUACGUCUUGCGACUUCACACUGGUGAACCCCCUUAACAACGGACGUAAACUAUUUAGUUCCAAAGGUAUCUGGAUAUAUCGGCCAGCAGGCCGCAUUCUCAACACAAAAGUCAGCUGGCAACAACAGCUACCAGUUACGUUCUACGGAAUCCCAGCUGAUUGGUUGUAUGAGAGGCCCCGGAUGGUGCCGGCUGUGCUGUCCCCAGGGCGUCAGUCGUGACGUUGCCCACAUACGUGAGGCCGACAACGGCAAGCCGUUUCACCAUCACCACCACCACCGGCUGUGCUGUCUGGGGUUUUUCCUGGGUUUUCCUCAGACGCUUUCAGACAUAUGUCGUGACAGUUCCCUUAGAAGUCGGCCCAGGACGCACAUUUCCCCAGGGCGUCAGUCGUGACGCUGCCCACCUCUGUGAGGCCGACAACGGCGAGCCUUUUCACCACCACCACCACCGGGCAGACGACAUACGGCCAGUGUUUCCGUCUGCUUCUGUCCUGAUUCCGAACUUUCAAAGUGCUCCUAAUUGGUCUACGCGGCAUUUGUUGUCAAGGGUGCCGGUUGAUAAUGUCUGCAGUGUGCCUUACUGCAAGAAUAUCUCAAUGAAGGAUCCGAAUAUUUCGUUUUACCAUACCGAAGACGACGAUGUACGGAGCGAAAGUGGCAACCUACGGUUGCGAGCUAUCAACCGUGGGAUAAAACUGAAAACAGCGUGUCAUGUCUGUUCGAUGCACUUCUCAGACGACGCGUAUGUAGUACGACGUAGUGAUAUCUUCAAAGCAAGAGUGAGCAUGCCAAGGACAAAGAAGAAAAGAAAAAGUCGCUAAAAGUCCAUGUUGUGCCGACCGUCUUUUUAUGAAUCCUAUGGAGAAGAUAUAUGAAAAGUGAAACCCAUGCAUAUUCCAAGCCCAUCGAUGGACAUUUGCGCUUUUGACACAGUGACAGGUAUAAGCAUUAGACUUUCUGCAGUACAUGAGUUCGAGGUUUCGUGGACACUAACUGAAUUAAAACUACUACGGUAGUUAUGAUACUAAGCCAUUGACAGGAGUAUACUUUGACGCGGUCACUCCCAGUUGCUGUUUUCGUUUCCUGAGCGCAUGAAAUCAUUAUUUUACGCCUCUUAUUUUCGUUUUCUAGUGUAUAUUUAGGUGUAGCAGUGGACCAAACCGUAAGCCAGUGUGGAUUCCUCAGCACACUUGUGUCAUAUCUGCAGCGGUUCUAACCGGCCAUUUGCUUGCGAUUUAUGUAAUAUGAAUUAUUACAUUAUGUCAGUGCUUUCUUUCACAGCUGCUCAGACUAGCUUCAUUCAACGCUUCCACACAGACUGGCUUGAGUCUCAAUCCUUCCUGUACACUCUCCCCAAUAUAGGAUCAGCUCACUGCCCUGGCAAUUUAUGGCACAAAGGACACAGGAGUGCUUGUGGUACAGGAGUGCUGCAACUGUAAACAAUAGCUACUCACAACACAUCAGCAAUGCACAGUGUCAAGCAGCGGCUUCCGUAUCUUCAUAAUUCAAUACCACUGUACCAUCUGAAGGGAAAGGUGCUGCAUCGUGGGUUCGUACAAGAACUCCCUGACAUCAUCCGAACGAAUUUCCACGACGGCAUUCUUGCAGCGAAGAGUAACUCCAGCCGUUCGAAAAAUCCUGUCGAAGGUGAUAACGAUACCACCAAGGUAACGAUAUUGGUACCAAGGUAACGGUACUGACGAAACACUUUGUCUGACCAACGAUAACUAAAAUACAUAAGAGCUAAUAACUGAAACAUCUACAUAUGCACAUUAUAUGCUACACAUGCAUAAUUUUUAUGCAUAUGCAAACACAGGAUGUAUUCUAUUUUACACUGUCACACAGCUCAUUUAACAACUGUAUUGGCACCAAUAUUACCAGCAAACAAGGGCUGAAGUAGCUGCACGGGGUUUACACGAUGCCCAGAGCAAGUUGAACUGGUUGAACACAGCAGUAUACACCACUGAUAUGGUAAUGGCUGGUAAGAUUAUUUUUGGUAACGUAAAACAAAGCGCAGAGUUGUAGCAGGAACAAAAUCUUUUGAGGACAUAGUGCAUCAAACAUAGGUUUCUUUAUUUUAGAGGUGAACAGCAGAGCACUUGCUGAAGUUGUUCCUGCAUGUUACCCUGGUAAAAGACUUCAGCUGCCCAUCCUGCCCAGCAUGGGCCGCCCAGGUUUGGGAGAAGAAAAUGAAUGACACAGUAUGCAACUCCAGUUCCGGUUAAUGCAAAUGGAUGUAAUCCACCAGAGUAAUGAUUAUAGAAUAAGGAACAAAAGUCUGCACCUCUUAAAAGCAUCCUAGCUUAUUCAGGUGUAAACAAGAACCUGUCCCUCUCAGUAUCAUAUUUGUGCACAUGCCCUGCUGGAAAUAGUAGGCACGAUCUCAUUCAUUUCUUCACGAAAUUUUAAUGAGACUGCUAAUUCGUUCAACAUGUGAAAGCCGACUCUUUCUCAUUGACUGAAUUGGAAGUCAAGCAGGGAAGCUGUCUUCGCGAAACCGGGCUCCGCCGUGUUGUGUGGCGAAGACCACAUCAACGAAGUAAGGAACCAAUUCAACGAAUUGGUUUAGUGGGCGUCAACGAUGAUUGAUUGAUUGAUUUUUAAAAUAUAAAAAUUGAAAUGUUAGUCUCUGCGUCAACGAAAAACGCUGAUUUCCAAUUGAUUUAAUGAGAUCCGACAUGUUGUGUAUUACAGACUGCGCCAAUAGAAGGAAUGAGGAACUAGCCUAAUGUGUAUCAAUGAAAUCUUCUUUCCAGUUGAUUUAAUGGGAUCCAACAUGUUGCAUUGCCGCCACUACAAUAAUUGAGACGUCAGUUGUUGAAGGAACGAGUGUAAUGAUGACCAACGGUACAUCAUCACUCUCAAAUUAAGUAAUAAUAUAUGAAUAUGAAGAACGCUGUACGUUCGUGUCGACGAUGAACUAAUUUGACCAAAUUCGAACAAAUGAAACUCCAGAACACGAAUCGUAUAGAAAAUAUUGCAAGUGAAAUUUGAAUGAAAAUUUGAAAUUAAAAUUUAUUCCGAACAAAUCAACUGAGGAGGCGAGCAGACCGCCGGCCGCGAUGUCGCCAAGAGGGCGCGUUGUAUUACAUUUCUGUGCCGCACCACAUAGUGGCCCGUGUGACUUGAAAAUAGUUCGCGUUAUUUCAAAUGUUUGUGAACAUAUUAUCCUCAAAAGUACAUAUGCCGUGGUACCUUUGUAUUACACCCCUUACUGUAAGCUAUUGUUAAAGCAUUCCGUACAAGAUUCAGUGGAUAUAUGUGGACGCGUUCUCAGGAAGCGCCGGGACCACCACCAACGGAUUAAUCAGUCUCUCACGAAAUGUUGGAGCGUUAGGAUGUGUGUGGUCGCUCACAAGUAGUUGGCGUUAUCAGUGCUUGAUUUCGAGGAUUUUAUCAUCGAGGAUUAUUAUUUAAGGUAGUCGAUUUGUCAAGCAUUCCAGUUUUUUCAACGCCGCUUUGCAUGUUUUUACCCCUGCUCGCAGGCACUACGGCCGUUGAUGGGAGGAUCGUGCAGUCAAUGUGUUGCCACCCGCGCUGUGUGCAACGGUAUGAAAUAUAUUUUGACGCUCACUUACGUUGACAUGCUACUGUUUCAGCACCUUUUACAUUAUCUUUCGAGAUGGUAUUACUUGAAGGUUACCCUCGUACCCUCGACGAGGCUGGCAUAGGGGCGACGGCAUUUGUCAGCAGGUGGUCAAAACGGAAUCUCAACGAAGCUGGAUAUGGCCUUCAUUUUCACGCAAGAAAGGCAGGCUGGACGGGGCAUUAGAAAUCUCCUACGAAACACAGAAGAACGUUAUGCCAUCGAGCUUUUUUUUUUCGUCGGCACUGUUCGGACAUGGAGAUACAUCUCUAUGAACUUACUCAUUGUGGGUUUAUGUUGCGUGUGUUGAUGAUGGACAGAAUGCUUUCACAACAUGUAGACACACACGCACACAUAAAUGGAACGAUGAUGUGGUGGGUCAUUCUCCGCUGUUAACGCGGUACACUACCCCAUUGCGCUUGUGGAAGGGAUGAGAAAGUGAUGAUGAUGGAAAGGUGUCCUAAGUGCUCAUUUAGGUUUCUAUUCUUUGUGUUUACUAUGUCCUGCUAGUGAUUUUUAACCGCUUGGUGAAUAUUCAGUCAUAUAGAAAACGUCACAAAUAACUUGCACGUUUGUAUCUGCCACUUGCAAUAUUUUCACAUCUACUUAUUGUUGUGAAUUUCAAUGUGACUUUAAUGGGGAAAUCCUUGCUGUUGACAUUUGGCCAAUGGGAAACUAGGCUGGCCUCCAAUGGGUGCGACCGAGCGCUGUUCCACUUCGUUCCUAUUGACAUUUACAAUGAUUUCUUAUUAAAACCCACUAAAUUCGUGUUGUUUUCAAUAUGGUAUUUGUCCAAGACUGUCAAUUCGGAAUGAGAAAUUUUGGUCACCUUCCAUGAGAAUUGUGGAUGUGAUAUCCACUUAAACCGAAUGAGAUUUCUGGUCUAUUUUCAAUUGGAGUAUUUCCAGCAGGGCGAUCAAGUAAACUGAAAUCAAAUAAGAAAAAAAACUUGUGAACAAUAUACAGAGCCCGAACGGUAGGCAAGACAAUGCUGCAAAGAGAAAUCCGGAAGGAGGCUGCACAGCAUUUGUCUGCUCUGAAUAGUGGGUUGGAGUGAUCAUGCCGUCUCACCUCAGGGGUUUCAGGCUCCGCUCAGGAAGUUACCUGUAAACAUGAAAGCAGAUGAGUGAAGAGAAAAGAACGGAUAUAUAUGUUCAAUAUGUUACAUAAGUAUUCUGUUGAAUUAUGGUUUUUAAGAUCAUGCUAAACGAAAUCUAUUUUUAUCAACAGUGCACCACCUGAGUUUCGUGACUAUAGACUCAGGAACUUCUAUUUUGUCCUUUUUUUUUACUACCUCUCUCCCCCUUGUGUGCCGUAAGCGGCCGCAAGGUUCCAAGUCACGCAGAUGAGAACUAACCCAUUUACACAAUCCUGAAAUCUCUGAUAGCAUUUGAACCACACGGACUGAGAGAUCUUCGUUAGCUCCAAUAAUGAAAAGUACGCACACUUCUGCGCCGUUUAGGUGGAUGUUCUUUUCCCGGUGUGGACAGGUAUUGUGAUGGCUCUACAGCUUGAUUCAAACGACACUGAGCCCGGUAACCAGUACGUUGAAGAGAUUCAGCGUCCCCUUCGUAAUCUAAAUGUUCGCUACAAACACGAGCAAUCGAUAGCACCGCACCGUCUUUCCAUUCCGGCCGUCCGAUUGCUUUGUGGCAUCAAAAGCUGUCCGUCUCGUCACUGGGAAGCAUAUGACAUUGGAUGCCAGGCCAAUAUUGACGUGAAAUGGGGCAACCAACCAUCCAACAUCGUAUUGGCAUGUCGGCGAAAACCACAGGAUGCGACUAUACGAUAGACUCCGACCAUCGCGCGGAAGCUGGCGUCAUCAAGAUUUCCACUCGCGAUGAACGCAUACGCGGGAUCCUACGGCUCAUGCUCUCGGCGGGACCACGACACGUAACCGUGACGUGUCGCGGACCCAGCCGUGAUCCCGUCAAGUUGUUCCCUGUGUCUCCGCGCGGCAGUUCGCCACGGCGCGAAGCUCCUUUCGCCGCUCCGUUCAAAUUCGCUCCCGAGAAUACUCCUCGCAUGACGAAGGUAAAAUUUUGGUUCUAGACGCAGAAAAAUGUUUUCUUUCUGAUGGAAAUGAGGAAAAAAUCAUUUCAUAGUCCCUUUAAGCUAUUGUUUCUGCAUUCAGUACAACAUUCUAGUGCAUGUAAGUGAAAGCAUUUUGCCCACUCUCCAACGGAUUAGUCUGUUGCGAAAUGCCGAAGUGUUCGAACGUACGCUGUGCCUGGCUGUGGCUCACAAGCAGUUGGCGUCAUUCGGGCUACAUUUGAUGUUUUAUCAGUUUCUAAAGUAUGUAGUCGAUGUGUCAAGCAUUCCUGUUCUUUGUACGGCGUGUCAUGUUUUUACCCUGCUCGUAGGCAUUACCAGCGCUGAUGGGAGGAGAGCAAGAUGUGCAGUCAGACUUUUACCACCCGCGCUGUGUGCAACGGUUAUGCUCGUACGACGCGGCUGGCAUCGGGGCGUCGGCAUUUGUCAGCAGGUGGUCAAAACGGAAUCUUACCGAAGUUGGACGGCGUUAAUUUUCACGCAAGAAAGGCAAGCUGGACGGGACAUCGCAAAUCACCUACAAAACACAGAAGAGCCUGAUCACCGUGGCAUUCAGUGCUUCAAGAUUUUUUUUUUCGUCGGCAUUGUUCGGGCAUCUGGUAUACAUCCCUAUGGAUUUAUGUUGUGUGUUGACGAUGGACCGUAUGCUUUCAAAACAUGUAAGUGCUGAAUCAAGUUUCUGCUCUUACUAUGUCUUGCUAGCGAUUUUUAACUGAUUGGUGAAUAUUCACACUUAUACAAAGCAUCUGAAAUAACUUCCACCUUUGUAUCUGCCACUUGUAAUGUUUUCAUAUUGAUACGGGCAGCACAGCGUGGUGAUGGCAAUGGUCUAAUGGACAGAAUGAGAAUGACCGCGUGGCUCGCGCCCGUCCCUGCCGACACCGUCGUCGUCGUCGUAACAUUGCCCCUCUCCCCGAGGCGUGCCCUCCGGGACACGACAGAUGAAGAAUGCCAUGCUGCCGGGGUCACAAUAGGUGAUGUGGUCGAUGGUCGGCGACGGUGUGGUCGGUGAUGGGAAUGGCUCGAUGCGGUGACGUUCGAAGGAUGGACGGGUGGGCGACGAUGGGACGACGGUGGAAUGACGCUGUGCUGCCUCCACAGGGUCGGGGCCGAGGGUAUCCUCCACUGAGCGCUGUCGUCGCGGGCGUCGUUGGGCGUCUUCGGGGCUGGGGGCAUCUUCAGGGCUUACUCAUUGUCGUCUCCGGUCGUCGUCGUCUCUUGUGGUCCUAGGGUCGGGGCUAUGGGGCGUUGAUGGCCAGAACAACAGCGCUUCGAAGAAGUGCCCCGCACCUCCACCAAAUGAUACGGGCAGCACAGCGUGGUGAUGGCAAUGGUCUAAUGGACAGAAUGAGAAUGACAGUGCGUGACACGCGCCCGUCCCUGCCGACACCGUCGUCGUCGUCGUAACAAUAUCUACUCUAUUGUUAUAGAUGUAAAAUGUAGGUAAUAAUAAUGUAAUA